rnacentral:rRNA from 1 species
GACGAACCGUACAAACGUUAUUCGGAAUCACUGGGCUUAAAGGGUGCGUAGGCGGCGGCGUAAGUUGGGUGUGAAAUCCCUCGGCUUAACCGAGGAAUUGCGCCCAAAACUGCGUCGCUGGAGGGAGACAGAGGUGAGCGGAACUUAGGGUGGAGCGGUGAAAUGCGUUGAGAUCCUAAGGAACACCAGUGGCGAAAGCGGCUCACUGGGUCUCUUCUGACGCUGAUGCACGAAAGCUAGGGGAGCGAACGGG